GAUGAACGCUGGCGGCGUGCCUAAUACAUGCAAGUCGAGCGAACAGAUGAGGAGCUUGCUCCUCUGACGUUAGCGGCGGACGGGGGAGUAACACGUGGAUAACCUACCUAUAAGACUGGGAUAACUUCGGGAAACCGGAGCUAAUACCGGAUAAUAUAUUUAACCGCAUGGUUCAAUAGUGAAAGACGGUUUUGCUUUCACUUAUAGAUGGAUCCGCGCCGCAUUAGCUAGUUGGUAAGGUAACGGCUUACCAAGGCAACGAUGCGUAGCCGACCUGAGAGGGUGAUCGGCCACACUGGAACUGAGACACGGUCCAGACUCCUACGGGAGGCAGCAGUAGGGAAUCUUCCGCAAUGGGCGAAAGCCUGACGGAGCAACGCCGCGUGAGUGAUGAAGGUCUUCGGAUCGUAAAACUCUGUUAUUAGGGAAGAACAAAUGUGUAAGUAACUAUGCACGUCUUGACGGUACCUAAUCAGAAAGCCACGGCUAACUACGUG
rnacentral:rRNA from 1 species